rnacentral:rRNA from 1 species
UACGGAGGGUGCAAGCGUUAUCCGGAUUCACUGGGUUUAAAGGGUGCGUAGGCGGGCUUGUAAGUCAGUGGUGAAAGCCCGGAGCUCAACUCCGGAACUGCCAUUGAUACUGCAAGUCUUGAGUACACUUGAGGUGGGCGGAAUACAUCAUGUAGUGGUGAAAUACUUAGAUAUGAUGUAGAACACCGAUUGCGAAGGCAGCUCACUAAAUUGUAACUGACGCUGAAGCACGAAAGCGUGGGGAUCAAACAGG